CCCUUAGAUGUUCUGGGCUGCACGCGCGCUACACUGUCGGAUUCAGCGAGUCAUAUCCCUAACCGAAAGGUUUGGGUAAUCUUUUGAAAGUCCGACGUGAUGGGGAUUGAUCAUUGCAAUUAUUGAUCAUGAACGAGGAAUUCCUAGUAAGCGCGAGUCAUCAGCUCGCGUUGAUUACGUCCCUGCCCUUUGUACACACCGCCCGUCGCUACUACCGAUUGAAUGGUUUAGUGAGAUCUUCGGAUUGGCGCCUACGCGGCUUCUCUGAGGCCACGCUGGAUGCCGAAAAGUUGCUCAAACUGUAUCAUUUAGAGGAAGUAAAAGUCGUAACA
rnacentral:rRNA from 1 species